GUUAAUUGACUAAUAUUCUUAUAUUCAUCAUCACUGGUACAGAGAUCAAUCAUUGAUGUGCAUUCUUGGGUACUUUGAGAAAAUAUCGAAUCAUGUUUUAUUGUCAAAGCCCGUAGUUAUUUCCAACAGAUUACCUAUUCCAUCUGUAUAAUCUUUAGAAAUUGCAUGUAUCUCCUUGACUGUUGUUGAAGAAGUAGGUACUUAUAACUCUAUUCGAUAGUUUAGGUAUUCCUUAAAAGGAUAUUUACAUCUCGUAUCAAUACAUGACUUUUUUACAAAAGAAGAGUUGUACAAUUUAUAUUAUUUUCAUUUUAUUUUUUUGAAACAAUAAUGUUCACAUUAUUCUCUGUUAGAAUGGGUGAAAUCUAAAUUAUCCAUGGCCCCUAGCCACCUCUUCCUCCGUUCUUCGUAUAAUAGUUCAACCAACCGGUUUGCAUUUACCUCGGUCCCAUCUUUUUUAUACUCACUGAGUAGAGUCUCACAUUCCUUCGUCCAACAGGGAGUAUAGUCAUGCCUGUGGUGUUAUCUAGGUAGUGAUUUUUAAGCCGCUGUUUUUAGGAGUUAGUUAAAUGGUUCCUAAGUUAGAAAUCUACCUUAGUAUCUGUAGAUAUUAACAAUGUCUCUUCACAAUUCUUGACCAAUAGUGAAAUAAAAUUUGGCCUUAAUAAAUGUUAAUAACGUUAUCGCGUAAAUUGUUUGAAAUUAAAACAAUACAGUUUAAUAUAAUAGUACCUAACAAUAAGAACAACAACUUUUUUUUUACAUCAUAAUAUCAUAAGCUAAUCACAGGCGCAACGCACCGAUCAUGCGACUGCUCGUCGUCUUCUUCCUAUUUGUCUUCUUCUCGUGUAGUUUCUUUGCGAUCAGUGCUUGUGAGAUAACUCCACUUGAGUCCAUUUCUAUCAGGGACCCUACCGUCAGGAUGUGAUAUGGCAACAGUUCUAUAUCGAUGGUGUUGCAUUUGAAAUUCUCUUUAUCCAUUGUCCACACGUCGUCUACGUCGGAUUGCUUCUCUGGCGACGGAGGUGGCCUUGGCCGCCGUAGCAUUGCCGCCGAACAGCCAAGACUUAUAGUUUUUUCCUAUGUUUAGGAAGAUGUUUCUUUUCAGCAUUAGUCAUUUUUAUUAAUUUGAUGCUGAAUUAACCAAUAUUCUUAUCUUCAUCACCACUAGUACAGAGAUCAAUCGUUGAAGUACUUUCUUGGAUACUUUGAAAAAGUAUUCGAAUCCCGCAGUUAUUUCCAACCGGCGACGACUUACCAUUCCUACCGAAAAAUGGUAUUCCACCUGGUUCAAAAGUUAAAAAACUUAUGGCAACACUUCAUUCAAAGAAAUGCGUAUUCCAUUAUCGUAACCUGCAGCAAGCCAUUAAAAACGGACUAGUAGUGGAAUAAGUAAUAUUUUCAUUUAUUUUUUUUUUCAUUUUUAACAUAUUUUGUUUUAUUAUAGGUUCACAGAGUUAUCCAGUUUAUACAGUCAGACUGGCUUAAGAAAUACAUAGAAUUAAACACUGAGAUGCGAAAAAAGCGAAGAAUGAAUUUGAGAAGAACAUUUUUAAACUUUCAAACAACGCUGUUUUCAGUUUAUAUAUAUAUAUUUGAUAUAUUUUUAUUAAUUUUAUUAACAUUUCAUCAAUGUUUAAGGGAAGGCUAUGGAGUCUGUAAGACGGAGAAUUAAAAUGGAACUGGUUUGUAGUAAAAAAACAUUCACAGAAGCUUAUAAACCGUUCAAAAUUCAAACACCGUAUUACAUUCGAUGAAACUCUCAAUGCUGUAUCAUUGGAAAAUUAAACCAUUGAUUUUUGCAAGCUUAUUUAUAUAGGUUUUGCAGUGUUGUAAAUUUCUAAGACCAACAGGUACGAUUAUCAUCAUAACGUUAUGCAAGCCCAUUAUGUAAAUAAAAUUAAGCUCAUGUAUACUGCUACAGAUUCACUGCUAUACUAUAUCCAAACUGAUGGUUUUUACAAUGACCUAGAGAAUAAUUCCAAUUUACUCGAUCGAGUGAACACAUCGGACUUACCACAAGACCAUCCGUGUUACGUUCAUUCAAACAUCAAUUGAAGACCAUUAAAUCAAACAAAGUAACUUAUAAUAGUUUCGAUGACAAGAGGGUUUUACUUGAGGAUAAAAUACAUAUUCUGGCUCACGGUCACUAUUCCACAGAGGAAGCCGAUACGCUAGAGCAAGGCGAAUUAAUACAACAUCUAGAACCCGAGCUGAACAGAUAAUUUUUAUUCUAAUAUAGAUAUUGAAUUGUAAAAUAUCUUUGUAGAUAUUUAAUUUUGUAAAAUAUCUACUGGGAUAUUAUUUUAUUUUUAUUUUGUAAAGUACUCCUGUAGAUAUUGUAGAUAAAUAUUAAGUUAGAAUAGGUUAGGAAAAA